GGGGAAUACACGGUACUGCAGUGCUGACUCUGCACACGGAGGAUGUAGACCACCUAGAUAAAGCAGAGAAACAGUGUCCUUUGGUGUGUGUGCACAAGGAGUUUGCUUCAGUACUGCUACUGCCACUGGCAUGGGAGCAGUCUGAGCCCUGGCAGAUCACACCCAUGUUAAGGUUUGAUCAACAUGGACUUACAGCAGCACGACAGGAAUGCGAGAUAGGGUUACGAUUUCUUUUCCAGGACAGUCACAUUGCACAGCUCCCCAUGUGCACCAUUUAUAGAAGGACCAAGGGCUGCAGCUUGUCCUGCAGUCCUAACAGAGAUCAGGCUGUUACACGUGACCUCUGCCCAGUGAAAGCUGUUUCCUGUUGUCUUUCUGCCACUGUGAUGACUCUUUAUUUGCUGCCAAGACUGUGUUCAAUCAAGGUAUCUGAGUCUUGAUAAUCAUCCAGGCAUUUUUCUCUUGGAAAAAUAACAACAACAAAAAACAAAACUGUAGGGCUUGGGAAAGGAGAGAAUGGUACCUGAAGUUUCUCCCCUGGACAUGAAAAAGGAGUGGAGAAUCUGUGGAAGAGGAGGAGGAGCACAGACAGUCAGUGAGCAAGAUAGAAUGCUGAAGGAUGAUGAAGCUGAUAGUUACCUUAUAUGUUACAGAUGUUAAAGCCAAGAGAGGC
ensembl:lncRNA